rnacentral:lncRNA from 1 species
CUAUAAACUUUAAUUAAGGUUAUAUACAAUAAUUAUAAUUUUCUUUGUGACAGUUGUAUACUAAGACUGCUGUUUGAUCAAGGGAGAGGAAGAGGGUGAUUUAUUUGAAGAGAUUUUGUUUUUAAUAUUUCCUGUAUCCAAACAAUGACAAAGAAAGAUUCAAAAGACCAAAUGAGCAGAGUUAAGAGAGUGUCACAAAGUUUGCAAAGACUUGUUCUCACCCAGUGUCCCUGUCCCUUAUAAGCCAUCUCUAGUCGGGCUGGCCUCUCUAAACAGGCUACAGAAGAUAAAUUACAAUUUUUAAAUUGUAUAUUUAAAUUCUAGCAAUAUACAGAUUGAUUCUGACUUUGCUUAUACUGAUUUUUCUCUUUCUUCUGGACAACAAAGCUCGAUGACCUCACACAAGACCUGACUGUUUCCCAGCUCAGUGAUGUUGCUGACUAUCUGGAAGAUGUUGCAUAGACAGGAAAAGGAAGUAUUCUGAUCAACAGAGGACGAACGACUCAUUGGCUCCAUUUUCCUCAGUCACUUUUGCUGGAAUGUCCGCUCCUGCUGGUGCCUUGCAUUUCAAAAAGACUGCAGAUAUUUUUCAAAGUUAACUUUUCAGUUUGGUAAACAAAUACUUCCUAUAUGAGCGCACGUCUAGGAGAUUUAACGUUCUUACCUUGGUUUAGCUGCACAUCUCCAAGGACGUCAUCUAUGGUCAGGCUCAUUACAGCAAGGGAGCCCUGAGCAUCAGUGUUAAAGAGCAGAGAGAGGCUCAGGACAGCCAUGCUUUGUGCACUGUGUGACUGUGGCUGCUCCAGGGUUCUCUGAAGCCUUAGCAUUAGCUAUGGAGAGCUCACCCACUUAGUAUCAGGCGGGUUAGCCCAGAGUUGGUGAGCUGACCUAUAAAUCCAUGAUGCUAAAGAGUAUCAGUACAAGUUAAAUCGGGUUUAUAAACUUUAUUUUGUAUCUCCUUCCAUUUGGAAGGUUUGUUAGACCAUUAAGGUUAUAUUAAAGUACUCUGUACUUAGUUUUGCUUGUUUUAAACUAGAAAUUGUUAGUACUCUUAAUUCAUAGACUUGUCAAUAACAGUUACCAGUUAAGGUCACAUUCUUCUUGCUGUCUAUUAAGCAGCUGUAGUCACAGAUUACUUCAUUACAGUCUUAAUUUAUUAUUUCUAAAAAUGCCUUGAAACAUUCAAUACCAAAAUGCAUCUGAAACCAUUAAGCUGUGCUUUCAUUUCAGAUCUGUAAGUUCAUUAUAUUUAAAUCCAAAUUGGAGUGAAACAGUAGUAAUGGCCUAAGACCAUGUAUAUUCAGUUUGACAAACUUUGUAUACUGUACAUAAUUGCAUUGUAGUCCUUUAAAAAUAAGGCCAAUAAUAGAAUUUUUGGCAGAUUUAAUUUAAAUCUGUAUGUAGUGCUAUAGGGAUAUAGGCCAUUGGCAUCAAUAAUGCUGAAUUAUUUACAAUGUGCAAAUAGAAACUCAGUCCAAUACAUGCACAGUCAUACCACUUAAAAUUGGGAAUGUAUGAAAUUAGAUGUAUUUUAUUUCAAUUAUGACUAUUAAAAGCUACCUUUAUUACUAAAAAGAGAAAUUGGAAACCAUUGAUCCGUGUUGAGUGAGUGAGCAGGCGCUGUGGUUUGUGUCAGCGCCACUUUCCACUCCAUAGUUGCCUAAGCACAGUGACAUUCUUCAGGCUGUGAGUGCAGAGGAAAUGAAAACGUAGUAAAGGUUCAGGCUCUCUGACAUAGAGUCUGGCUUUUUCACCUAAGUGAAACUGAGCUGUAAUCAAGAGGAAGUAGGACAGAAACAGCAGGCGGCCUGGAAAGCCCUGGAGUGCUUGUUCUCAGUCUGCCCCAACAUGGCGCUGCCUGCUCUUCGUGCUUUACUCUUAGGAAACAGGAUGAAGACGCUGUCUGCUGUUAGAAACUGCACUGCCCUGUGUCAUCUCUUCAGCAAUGGGAUGCCCUGGGGCCACUGAGCCUCUGCAGUCUGGAUUGAAUGUGUGGUUUAAUAUUUGGUGGGCACUGCAGUUAGUGAACUGACCUGCAAGCAUGGCAGGAUGUGGCUUUUUACAUUUGAGGAAGACUUUCCAACAGUCAAAUGUGAAAUUCGUCACUUUCUAUUACCCAGUGACUGACCUUUUGGUAAGUCUUGAGAGGAUGGAAAGAAAAAGCCAAACUGCAACUUUGUGGUCACCACUCCAUGCAGGUAUUGAAUACUUGUAAAAAAUGUGAAAUUCAACAGGGAAGAAGUGGUUUCUACAGUAUUCCUUGCUUAGUCAUUGUUGACCUGUUAAACCUUAGUGUGUGAAAUGACAGGGUCUGCAUGUAAAAAAUGUCUCUUUGAAAAGUGAAUUACAGUGUUGGCUGGCAGUGA